GAUUUUCAUUAAUCACGUGACCCUACAACAAUGUCUACCUCUCUGCUGGCCUAGCUCCUUCUCUCUUCUCCUUUACAAGGCGUUAACAGGAAUCCUGUUUUCUGAAGCUUGUGGCGCCAUUUACUGUAGUCUAUUUGUGGUGAUUCACAUUCUGAACAACACGCACAAGUAUGAGAAGGUUUAGCUAUGUAUUGUUAUGAUGUUAAUGUAAUUCUAUUAUUAGCUAAUCUUGUAUGUUUUCUGAUAUUAACAUGAAUAAUAUACA